rnacentral:rRNA from 1 species
CGGNNNNGCGGCUNCUACCAUGCAGUCGAACGAUGAUGCCCAGCUUGCUGGGUGGAUUAGUGGCGAACGGGUGAGUAACACGUGAGUAACCUGCCCUUGACUUCGGGAUAACUCCGGGAAACCGGGGCUAAUACCGGAUAUGAGCCUUCCUCGCAUGGGGGUGGUUGGAAAGUUUUUCCGUCACGGGUGGGCUCCCGGCCUAUCCACUUGUUGGUGGGGUGAUGGCCUACCCAGGCGACCACCGGUAGCCGGCCUGAGAGGGCGACCGGCCACACUGGGACUGAGACACGGCCCAGACUCCUACGGGAGGCAGCAGUGGGGAAUAUUGCACAAUGGGCGAAAGCCUGAUGCAGCGACGCCCCGUGAGGGAUGAAGGCCUUCGGGUUGUAAACCUCUUUUCGCCCGGAAGAAACCCAAGUGACGGUACCUGCAAAAAAAACCCCCGCUAACUACCUGCCCACCGCCCCGGUAAAUACUAAGGGGCAAGCGUUGUCCGGAAUUAUUGGGCGUUAAGAACUCGUAAGCGGUUUGUCGCGUCUGGUGUGAAAACUCUGGGCUCUACCUCGAGCUUGCCUCUGGAACCGGCAGACUAUAGUGUUGUAUGGGAGACAGGGAUUCCUGGUGUAUCGGUGGAAAGCGCACAUAUCACGAGAAACACCCAUGGCGAAAGCGCGUCUCUGGGCCCCAACUGACACUCAGAAGCGAAAACAUGGGGGAGCGAACACGAUUAUAUAUCCUGGGAGUCUACGCCCUAUACAUUGUGCACUCUGUGUGGGGGCGCACUCCACGAGUUUCGUGCCGCAUCACACACAUUUUGUGCCCCCCCCCGGGGGAGUACACCGGCACGCGAUAACUCUCAAGGAGUUGACGAGGGGGCCCGCCGCACGCGGCGGCAGCAUGCUGGAUUAUAUAUCUAUGANACGCGCAGAGCACUUAUCACUGCGUCGUCG